AUUGAACGCUGGCGGCAUGCCUAACACAUGCAAGUCGAACGGCAGCACAAUAAAGAUUUCGGUCUUUAUGGGUGGCGAGUGGCGGACGGGUGAGUAACGCGUAGGAAUCUGUCCUGGAGAGUGGGAUAACCCGAGGAAACUCGGGCUAAUACUGCAUGACAUUGAGAGAUCAAAAGCAGGGGACCGAAAGGCCUUGCGCUCUGGGGUGAGCCUACGUCGGAUUAGCUAGUUGGUGGGGUAAAGGCCUACCAGGCGACGAUCCGUAGCUGGUCUGGGGGGAUGACCAGCCACACUGGGACUGAGACACGGCCCAGACUCCUACGGGAGGCAGCAGUGGGGAAUCUUGGACAAUGGGGGAAACCCUGAUCCAGCGAUGCCGCGUGUGUGAAGAAGGCCUUCGGGUUGUAAAGCACUUUAGGUGGGGAAGAAAGGUAGCGAGUGAAUAACUUUCUGCUGUGACGGUACCCACAGAAUAAGCACCGGCUAACUCUGUGCCAGCCGCCGCGGUAA
rnacentral:rRNA from 1 species